rnacentral:rRNA from 1 species
UACGAAGGGGGCUAGCGUUGUUCGGAAUUACUGGGCGUAAAGCGCACGUAGGCGGAUCGAUCAGUCAGGGGUGAAAUCCCAGGGCUCAACCCUGGAACUGCCUUUGAUACUGUCGAUCUGGAGUAUGGAAGAGGUGAGUGGAAUUCCGAGUGUAGAGGUGAAAUUCGUAGAUAUUCAGAGGAACACCAGUGGCGAAGGCGGCUCACUGGUCCAUUACUGACGCUGAGGUGCGAAAGCGUGGGGAGCAAACAGG